rnacentral:lncRNA from 1 species
AAAAAGGCAGGGAAUUGGCGAGGGGAAGGCAGCUUCCUCUCCAAUUACGGUGAGGGGCACACACCUUGAAGGUCUCUUUGAAUUGCGGCCGCCAGCCCCUGCCCCCUCCCCUCUCCUCCGCCCCCUCCGCCGGGCCAUUCAUCGCUACAUUAGGGAGGAGGCAGAGGGUGACGAUGCUCCCCCAAGUUCACUUCUCGCUUGUUACAGGCGACCCAUUUAGAGCUGAAUGACUAUGUUCAGAGACAGCUCUAAAUGACACCCUCCACCUCUUCACGGAGCCACUUGGUUUUGUCUUUUUUUUUUUUUUUUGUAUCCCGGAGAAAUAAUUGAUAAACCGAACGGCCGGCCACCUUAAAGCUGGGCGCCUCCCUGGCCACCUGGUUAAAAUUCCUCCUCCGCUCCCCACCUCCCCACAUCCAUUUUGCUCUGUGCUGUUUAAACAAUACUUCAUCAAAUGCAGCCUGGAGCAAAUAAGAAAGCUCAGUAGAGUAAAUAAAAAGUCAAAAAAAAAAUCACCGGCUGGAGGGUAAGUACUUUUAUUCCUGCACUUUCAUUGCCUGGGGAAUUAUUAUUCCAUUGCCCGAUCUGGGAGGGAGGGAGGGCCGAGGAGGGCCGUGUUAUUCACAAAAUGGAUUGCUUCUCUCCCUUUUCACUCCCCUGGCUCUCGAGAGCCCACUGAUUACAACCAAGUGUGGCCAUCCAUUCCGUCUUAUUGACAAAGGUCCUUAAUUACCGCGGCAGCAGUAAUACCUGCUAUUAAAUUCUGCUAAACAGAGGCUGCAAAUUAGCUGUGGAUCUCAGGCACCUUUUGUGUGUAAUUAUGGCGAGUGGGAUUGACGGGGAGGCCGGAUAACUGACCCCAGCCAGAGCAGCGGGGAAACCUUUGUUUAUCACCUGCGGUGGGGGCCAAAAUGUGAAAUUAAAAGCUCUCCAUCAGCUGAAGGCCUUGGGAAGGCCCAGGGGAAGAAGAAGGAAAAAAAAAAAAAAAGCAACAGACCCAGCAAACUGUGCUUACCGGUAUUUAUAAGCAUUUUGCUCCACUGCAAUUUACACUGACAGUUGAUUAACCGAAAGCUCUGCUAAUUCUGCGGGCAAGAUGCUUCCUCAGACAUGCUUCCUCAGUGCACCAGGCAGAAACUGGAAAAAGAUUACAAUUCAACAUGGCAAAUGCUAAAACAGAGCUCCAGAAGCCAUGCCUAUAAUACACACAAGACUUUGUUUCAAAUCAGUUUUUCAGUUGAGGAGGAAUUCAAACUCAGGAAAAGAAGAGGAAUUUACAUUUGACCACAAAGACCGGAGAGGUCUUUGCACACGUUUCUUAAGGGAAAGACAUUUAGGAACUUGGAAACGUUUAUGCCCUAUAAUCAUAGAAUGUGAGGAGCAGCCAGGCGUCUCUGAGGCCAGCAAGGUUAAUGACAUGAUUUUGGAGAUGAGAAAAUUGAGGCCAGAGAAAUCAAAUGACUCAUCCACAUCUGGGACAGGCCAAAGCAGGCACAGGGAUAAAGAACAACUGUUGAGAGAUGGAACUUGCAGCCCAGAUCCUUGGCCGGAGCGUCCCAGCGCUCUGCUUCAUCCAGUCCCAGCUGAUCAGAGUUUCAGCAAAGAGAGAACAUGCUUUCUUAACGGUACACAUGUUCGCUGAGAGUGGAGGAGGGGGGAUGAAGGAGAAGCAAGUUUUCCAUCUGAAAAGAACAUGAGCAUCUGCCUAGCAAUGAACUUCCCUGCUCUUGAACUUGUCAAUUCUUUUCCACCUCUUCAUUCAACACAAUUCAAAAGGCAUAACCUGAAAAAGGGCAUGAUGGAAAGAAGUACUGAGAUCCACUAAAGAAAAGGCACAAUAGUUAAUCAUCUCUUCUCUGGCAUCCUUCCUUCAACCCUACAAAAUAAACAAGUUGAGAAGUUCUUCAAUUUCUGUGACUGUAAGCGAUGUGGUGAAUUAAUGUUCCUAAAUGCUAGCACUGGGUAAAUGAAUUCAUUGUUGAGAAAGUUCUGGAUGAGCCAGUAGCCAAGUUAUUAAUUCCAUUAUAUAUCCUUGUUUGUGUCUGCUCUGGGAUAGAGAUGAGAGAGGAACAUUGUCAUGAAGAAACCCAUUAAAUAUACCUGCCUUUGUAAAAUCUUGCAUCUCAAACUAAAGUUGUACUAUGCUUUUCUUAAAGAACCCAAAAUUCUCAGUGGCCCUACCAAGAUAGGCAAUAAGUUUCUCAAAAAUCACAUUGGCACAUAGGUGCUUACAACUACUCAAUGAAUUUUUAACCAAUACGUAUCCACCUGGAAUUAAACCAAGAUGGACUCAUUAGAAGAGCUGUCAGGAUCGCUACCCAACAUGGUAACUCUCAGGACAGACAGUGGGAAGUCUCUAAAUGUCCCUUUGCAGGGCUUUCAAAGGGCUCAAUUCAGGUGUGGGAAACCUGUCUUUAAUAUUUUCAUUGCUGCUCCCAAUGUACUUCCAAUGUUAUUAAUUCACGUGCAGCAUUUCAUUAAAUGGGAUCCUCUUUGCAAA